rnacentral:tRNA from 1 species
GCGUCCGUAGCUCAGUUGGUUAGAGCACCACCUUGACAUCGAGUCCACUCGGACGCACCA